UAGAUAUUAGUAAAAUUAUUACAUAACUUUGUCAAAGUUAGAUUACUGGUUUAAAUCCUGUAUAUCUUU
rnacentral:tRNA from 1 species